rnacentral:rRNA from 1 species
UCGAUUGGAUGAACCAGCGGAGGGAAUCAUUACCGAGUUACAACUCCCAAACCCCCUGUGAACAUACCUAUCGUUGCCCUCGGCGGUGCCCCGCUCCCGCGGCCCGCCCAGAAGACCCCCCAACCUCCUUGUUUUAUACCAGUAUUCUUUCUGGAGUAACCACCGAUUUAAAAUAAAUUCCAAAACCUUUCCAAACCACCGGGAAUCUCCUGGGGUUGCUGGGCAUCGGAAUGAAGGAACCCCAGCCGAAAUGCGAUAAUUAUUGUGAUUGGCAAAAUUCAGUGAAUCAUCGAAUCUUUGAACGCACAUUGCGCCCGCCAGUAUGCUGGCGGGCAUGCCUGUACGAGCGUCAUAUCAACCCUCAAGCCCCCGGGCUUGGUGUUGGGGAUCGGCGUGCCCUCGCGGCGCGCCGUCCCCUAAUCUAGUGGCGGUCUCGCUGUAGCUUCCUCUGCGUAGUAGCAACACUCGCACUGGAUUCGCAGCGCGGCCAACGCCGUUAACCCCCCACUUCUGAAAGUUGACCUCGAUCGGUAGGAAUACCCGCUGAACCUUAGCCAUUUAAUAAGCGAAAAAGAAAU